rnacentral:misc_RNA from 1 species
CUUUUGACCACCUACGCCUUUUUACUAGUUACCUGACAAAUACUUUAUGUAAGUUGAGAGCAAAGAGCUGAACCUUGGGCCACUAAGCAUAAAUAGGUUAAUACAAGUUCAUUCCACAAAUUAUAGUAACCUAUCUACGAAAGUUGUAACCUCCAGACACAAAAAUAUAAUAGUACAUGGCCAAAUAAACCCAUAUGAUAAUAAUGUACAUUUCAAGCUCAGACCUCCUUGAAAUCCAGCUCCACGUAUAGAAAAGGCGCCUUUCCCUCAU